AAGUCGUAACAAGGUUUCCGUAGGUGAACCUGCGGAAGGAUCAUUAUCGUGGAGCUUCGGCUCCUUCGAGGGAGAACCCUUGCCUUUUCGAGCACCUGUUUGUUUCCUCGGCAGGCCCGCCUGCCAACGGGGACCAUCUAAACUCUUGCAAUCAACCUGAACAAAAUCGUCUGAACAAAAAAAACUAAAUCAAAACUUUCAACAACGGAUCUCUUGGUUCUG
rnacentral:misc_RNA from 1 species